ensembl:ncRNA C05D9.10 ncRNA
AACAGGCGUAGGCAUCUGGCGUGCCAGAGCCGUAACUGCCAGCAGCAGCAGACGCUACAUUCUGUCAUAUGGCGUUG